rnacentral:rRNA from 1 species
GACGAACGCUGGCGGCGUGCUUAACACAUGCAAGUCGAACGGGUCUGCCCUGUUUUUUGCGGGGUGGGUCAGUGGCGAACGGGUGAGUAACACGUGAGUAACCUGCCCCUCACUUCUGGAUAACCGCUUGAAAGGGUGGCUAAUACGGGGUGUUCUGGCUGUGCCGCAUGGUGUGGCUGGGAAAGAUUCACUUUUGUGGUGUUUUGGUGGGGGAUGGGCUCGCGGCCUAUCAGCUUGUUGGUGGGGUGAUGGCCUGCCAAGGCUUUGACGGGUAGCCGGCCUGAGAGGGUGGGCGGUCACACUGGGACUGAGAUACGGCCCAGACUCCGGCGGGAGGCAGCAGUGGGGGGUAUUGCACAAUGGGCGGAAGGCUGAUGCAGCGACGUCGCGGGAGGGAUGGAGGCCUUCGGGUUGUGAACCUCUUUCGCCGGUGAAGAAGGUCCUGCUCUUUGUGGUGGGGUUGACGGUAGCCGGGUCAUGAAGCGCCGGCUAACUACGUG